rnacentral:rRNA from 1 species
GACCCCAGGUCAGGCGGGGACACCCGCUGAGUUUAAGCAUAUCAAUAAGCGGAGGAGAAGAAACUUACAAGGAUUCCCCUAGUAACGGCGAGCGAACCGGGAUCAGCCCAGCUUGAGAAUCGGGGGGCU